UACAGAGGAUGCAAGCGUUAUCCGGAAUGAUUGGGCGUAAAGCGUCCGCAGGUGGCUGUGUAAGUCUGCUGUUAAAGAGUGAGGCUCAACCUCAUAAAGGCAGUGGAAACUACAUGGCUAGAGUGCGUUCGGGGCAGAGGGAAUUCCUGGUGUAGCGGUGAAAUGCGUAGAGAUCAGGAAGAACACCGGUGGCGAAAGCGCUCUGCUAGGCCGCAACUGACACUGAGGGACGAAAGCUAGGGGAGCGAAUGGG
rnacentral:rRNA from 1 species